UACGGAGGGUCCGAGCGUUAUCCGGAAUCAUUGGGUUUAAAGGGUCCGUAGGCGGGCCUGUAAGUCAGGGGUGAAAGUUUGUGGCUCAACCAUAAAAUUGCCUUUGAUACUGCAGGUCUUGAGUCAUGGUGGGGUUGCCGGAACAUGUGGUGUAGCGGUGAAAUGCAUAGAUAUCACAUAGAACACCGAUCGCGAAGGCAGGUGACCAACCAUGUACUGACGCUGAUGGACGAAAGCGUGGGUAGCGAACGGGAUUAGAUACCCCUGUAGUCC
rnacentral:rRNA from 1 species